rnacentral:rRNA from 1 species
GACGGAGGAUGCAAGUGUUAUCCGGAAUCACUGGGCGUAAAGCGUCUGUAGGUGGUCAAAUAAGUCAACUGUUAAAUCUUGAGGCUCAACCUCAAAAUCGCAGUCGAAACUAUUCGACUAGAGUAUAGUAGGGGUAAAGGGAAGUUCCAAGUUGGAGGCGGUGGAAAUGACGUAGAGAUUGGAAAGAACACCGAUGGCGAAGGCACUUUACUGGGCUAUUACUAACACUGAGAGACGAAAGCUAGGGUAGCAAUGGGAUUAAGAU